CAGCGUUUGGAGGGACCGGUUUAGAGAGAGGGAGAGUCCGUCAGUCAGAGGCAGAGGUCGAGCCGUGGAGUAGAUCUCGCCGGCUGGGCUCGUCCCGGGGCUGGUGCGUCCUGCCUGCCGCCGGCGACCUCCUCGUCGGUGAGUACGUGCAGCAGCCCGGAGAGGUGCCAAAGGCUGGAUCUCGCAGAACAAGGACAUGAGGUACUUGGGCAUGGAAUGGGAAUCACAAUUGUUGUGGUGGAAAUGAAGAAUAUCCUGUUAUUUGGCUGCUACCAUCGAUGUUCUUUUAGAUUGAACAUUGCCAUGAGCGUUUCUCUACGCAAUGAAUAUAUUAGAUCAAGCAUCAUGUCAUGGACACCAUAAGACUUUUCUGCGUUGAUAGUGAUGUCUACGGGUUGGAUCGUACUUCUGUUUAUCAGCUCACUGAAGUAACUCUCCUAGCUCAAAUGGGUUAAUUUCGUGUUUACAUGAUACACAAAUCUUCAGCUAUCCAUCUUCAUAUGAAUUGGUCUCGCUUAAUUUUGUAAUCUUCUGGAUAUAUGCUUACAUAUAAUAAAUGAUGUGAAGAUAGAUCAUAGAACAAAACCAUAAUCUUUAGUCUUAAGCAAGUUAGGGUAAACUAGAGAUAGAACACAACAGAAGCCACACACACGAAUGACAUGGAAAGCAGCAAAGAAAUAGUAAAAGAAGCUCUUGACUUGUAGAUUAUGUCAAAGUGAUAAUCUAGAGUCAAGCUUCUUUUACUAUUAGUUUCGAUCUACCUUGUCAUCUAUAGGAUUAGUUAUUAUAUCUAAGUAUGUUUUCAGAAGAUUAGAAGAUUAAGCAAGGUCACUUGAUAGGUAAAUUGAUAGCCGAAUGUUUUGUUUAUCAUGGAAAACCAGAGAUUAGCCUAUUUGAGCUCAGUGAUAGAGUUACUCAAUGAGAUCAUAAAUAGAAGCAUGAUUCAACCAAUAGACAUCAAUUUGAUGAAGGCAUGAAAAAUCUUAUUGUGUUAUGAUAUGAUGAUUGAUCCAAUAUGUUUUUGCCAAGUGAAGAAAAACACUAACAUGGCACUGAGUGAAAGCGAUCUAUACAAAGGCAAGAUUUGAAUAUUAUCCACCCGAAAGAGAAUGUCAGAUAUGACCACCAUCAGAAGAAGCAACAAUGCCACAAGUGAGCUCUCUUGUAUAUCCAUGUGCUAUUGUCGAUUCAGCGUCGCAUAUGUUGAGCGUUUAUGUUCUACAUGUGUUAGAUUUAGAAUAUUGUGGUGAGCACUUCCAUUCUUGCCAAUUGAGAUGGUGAGGCUCAGGAACACUUCAUUUGCCAUGGUGUUUUGAUUCGUCUUCUGCAGCAACAUGAAACUCUCAUUGUAAUUGUACCCACUUAUGCCUGAAUACUGCUAUUACUUCAGUUAGAUUCAAGAAGCACCAAGUUUCUGCAGCGCUCCUGCAUUUUGCUAAUGAUGAACUUCCUUCUCCAUUUCUUUCUUUUGUAAGGAAGAGUUAUGUACUUAUGAUGUAUGACUGGCUGGUUAAUUUUCUGUCAAUUCAACAACCAGUUUGUAUGGUGGCCAGUGCAAUUUGCCCGUAUGAACCAUUAGUUAUUAUAUAUGUACUGAUGUCUGGUUUGCCUGCUCUCCUGCAUUCUUCAUUACACUCCAUUGUUUGUAAUAACUUUAUUUCAGACUCGCAACCUAAAAUGCCGCAUUCAGUUUGUCCUAUGUUCUGAAGUUCCAUCUUCUAUUUGUCAUUUUGAUCAAAUAAACAGGGAAGUCGGCAGUGUCAUUUUGAUGUACCCGCUUAGGACCUGUAUUGAGUACAUCUUUCUGUUGGAGUACAACUGGAACUUGAUUUGCCAUUUCGUCUCGUGGGUACCUUUUCUGUCAAUCACUCUGGAGUGGAAGUAUUGCCCUCAACUGAUGCAACGCUUUCUGGACGAGAGAAUGAUUGGAUGUUGCCCUCAACUCAAGUGGCUCUUCUAUCUCUAUACAGGGGAGCAAAUCAUGUGAUGUUUUAUUUUGCUAUUUUGCGACCAAAUUGUAUGGUGCCGCAGACAAAUAAGACCUGUCUACUAGCAACUUGGUAUGAUAAAUU
rnacentral:rRNA from 1 species